rnacentral:rRNA from 1 species
AGCGAACGCUGGCGGCAGGCCUAACACAUGCAAGUCGAACGAACUCUUCGGAGUUAGUGGCGGACGGGUGAGUAACACGUGGGAACGUGCCUUUUGGUUCGGAAUAACUCAGGGAAACUUGUGCUAAUACCGAAUGUGCCCUUCGGGGGAAAGAUUUAUCGCCAUUAGAGCGGCCCGCGUCUGAUUAGCUAGUUGGUGAGGUAACGGCUCACCAAGGCGACGAUCAGUAGCUGGUCUGUGAGGAUGACCAGCCACACUGGGACUGAGACACGGCCCAGACUCCUACGGGAAGCAGCAGUGGGGAAUCUUGCGCAAUGGGCGAAAGCCUGACGCAGCCAUGCCGCGUGAAUGAUGAAGGUCUUAGGAUUGUAAAAUUCUUUCACCGGGGACGAUAAUGACGGUACCCGGAGAAGAAGCCCCGGCUAACUUCGUG